UACAGAGGUCUCAAGCGUUGUUCGGAUUCAUUGGGCGUAAAGGGUGCGUAGGUGGCGCGGUAAGUCGGGUGUGAAAUCUCGGAGCUUAACUCCGAAAUUGCAUUCGAUACUGCCGUGCUUGAGGACUGGAGAGGAGACUGGAAUUCAUGGUGUAGCAGUGAAAUGCGUAGAGAUUAUGAGGAAGACCAGUGGCGAAGGCGGGUCUCUGGUCUGUAACUGACGCUGAGGCGCGAAAGCGUGGGGAGCAAACAGG
rnacentral:rRNA from 1 species